CUUUCCUACGGGGCGCAGCAGUGAGGAAUAUUGGUCAAUGGGCGCGAGCCUGAACCAGCCAAGUCGCGUGAGGGAUGACGGCCCUACGGGUUGUAAACCUCUUUUGUCGGGGAGCAAAUGCCGUUACGUGUAACGGAGUCGAGAGUACCCGAAGAAAAAGCAGCGGCUAACUCCGUGCCAGCAGCCGCGGUAAUACGGAGGAGGCGAGCGUUAUCCGGAUUUAUGGGGUUUAAAGGGUGCGGAGGCGGAGUGUCAAGUCAGCGGUAAAAUACGGGGGCACA
rnacentral:rRNA from 1 species